rnacentral:rRNA from 1 species
GAUGAACGCUGGCGGCGUGCCUAAUACAUGCAAGUCGAGCGAACAGACGAGGAGCUUGCUCCUCUGACGUUAGCGGCGGACGGGUGAGUAACACGUGGAUAACCUACCUAUAAGACUGGGAUAACUUCGGGAAACCGGAGCUAAUACCGGAUAAUAUAUUUAACCGCAUGGUUCAAUAGUGAAAGACGGUUUUGCUGUCACUUAUAGAUGGAUCCGCGCCGCAUUAGCUAGUUGGUAAGGUAACGGCUUACCAAGGCAACGAUGCGUAGCCGACCUGAGCGGGUGAUCGGCCACACUGGAACUGAGACACGGUCCAGACUCCUACGGGAGGCAGCAGUAGGGAAUCUUCCGCAAUGGGCGAAAGCCUGACGGAGCAACGCCGCGUGAGUGAUGAAGGUCUUCGGAUCGUAAAACUCUGUUAUUAGGGAAGAACAAAUGUGUAAGUAACUAUGCACGUCUUGACGGUACCUAAUCAGAAAGCCACGGCUAACUACGUG